rnacentral:rRNA from 1 species
ACGGACUCCCGAAUAGGUAACUUGAAGGGAAGUCAGUGGCGAACGGGUGAGUAAUGAAUGGGUAACGUACCCCGGACUCAGGGAUAGCGGCGUCCUUUGCACUUCGGUGUGAAGGACUUUGCGAAAGUGCCGGUAAUACCUGAUGACCCCGCGCGACCGCAUGGUGGUGCGGGCAAAGCUCCGGCGGUCCGGGAUCGGCCCAUUUCCUAUCAGCUUGUUGGUGGGGUAACGGCCUACCAAGGCUGCGACGGGUAUCGGGUGUGAGAGCAUGACCCGACACAUCGGGACUGAGACACGGCCCGGACACCUACGGGUGGCUGCAGCAACGAAUAUUCCGCAAUGGGCGCAAGCCUGACGGAGCGACGCCGCGUGCAGGAUGAAGUCCCUCGGGAUGUAAACUGCUGUCAGGGGUUAGAAAUUCAUGAUCGGCCCCACAGGAAGCCUCGGCUAAUUCCGUGCCAGCAGCCGCGGUAAUACAGAAGAGGCGAGCGUUGUUCGGAAUCACUGGGCUUAAAGCGCGUGUAGG